rnacentral:lncRNA from 1 species
GUUCAUCUAUCUAUAACUAUAUAUUUUUCUUAAGUUCUUAUAAUUCUAUAAAGUUGGGGAGCAUGUGCCAAUUGAAUAUGUAAUUUUUCAUAGCACUAUUGCAUUUGCACCUAUGUGCAAAAUAUUUGAAGACUUGAAUGCAGAAAAAAAAGUUCUCUGUGGCAUUAUGACUUGCUCUUAGAUAGAUAACAUUGAGGAGGCUGUGAAUGUGAUGGUAAACUAGUGUGCAUGAUGCAUUGUCUACUAAUGACUCUGCAUUUUCAGGUAUACAAAUGCUCACUCGGAUUUCUUUUGUGCCUGCUGAAAAUGGUGGUGGAAAUGUUCAUUCUGGAGCACCUCCGCCUUGGUUUGAAACAACUGAGGGAGUUCAGAUGCAUCCGAAGCCUGUUUUAGGAGACCUUGUCUCCCAUUCAAACAAGUCAGGGAAGCACAAAAAGUUGAAUCCUAAACGCGUUGGAGCUGCUUGGGCAGAAAAGAGAAAGAUUGAAAUGGAGAUGGAAAAGAGGGGAGAGACUGUGAGGAACGAAUGUGAUGCCAGCUGGCUUCCUAAUUUUGGUAGAGUCUGGCAAUCUGGCAGCAGAAGAGAAUCCAGAAAAGAAUUUGAAAAGGAGAAACAAGAGUUGUCAAAUGUUGAAGCUCAACCUGAGAUGCCAAUCAAGAUACAACCUUAUGUUAGCAAAAGAAUGGUGCGUUUUACAUUCUAAAUAUUAUGGGUUUGAUUUGUUUCAAAACUGUCUGUCAAAACCAGUCUGCUUUGUGCCUGACCGAGCCCAAGCUUGGCAUGUUUGGUAUAUGGGUUGCAAAAUGGGCAGAGUCAGGGGCGGUUGGUUUCAUAUCAAUGGGGUAGCAUUUGCUACCCCAAAAGAAAAAAAAAAUCUUGAAUAAUGUAGUAUAGUUUUGUAUGUAGCUACCCCAUUGAUAUAUUAUUUGGCUACUCCAAACAAUUUUUGUUGGUUUAAAGAAGGAUGAUAUCAAUAAAAUAUAGAUAAUCUAUUUAGUUUAGUAUCAAUUAUAGAUAAAUUUGACUUAAAACUUCAUAGAGCACAACUUUUAUAAAUAAUUAUUGUUAGAUUUUAUUUUCUUUACUGUCGUUUCAUUAAAUAUAAGUAAAAAUUAUCGUUAUUGAUUAAGUUCAAUAUAUUAGUUUUUAAAAUAUAUAUAUAUUUUUUGUAUUUGGCCUCCUCAUAAAUAUUGUGCUAGCUUCGCCGUUUUGCAGAGUACUUCAGACUGAUCAUACCACCAUGUCUAGAAUGGUGGUAUCAAUUGUAUACAGAUAAAACAAAUGCAUUUAAUUGGGCAGAUGCGGGUAGAUGAACUUCAGACUGAUCAUACCACCAUGCCCGACCCAACCCGCAAAAAACCGGAGGAAACAACCCGAUAUGUGCGGGUUAUAGCGGGUUAACGGGUCUACGGGUUAUAAACACGGGUAUUUAAGAGUUUAAUUGGGCAGAUGCGGGUAGAUGAACUUCAACCGCGGGUACCCGAACCCGCCCGCGAAUACAAAUAAUUUAUGGGAAUUGAUGAUAAUCAAAUGCAUUUAGGGAGUAAUAACUACUUUCAUUUGCGGUGCAAGUUUUUUAGCAAUAUAAUAACACCUUUGGUUGACCAAUUCAAUACUAUUUUAUAUCACAUUUAUUUUUAUUUACUACUAGGAUUUUACUUUGUAGUUAUUUCCUUUUAUGUUUUCCAUUGAAACGUUACAGCAAAACAUCAUCUCUCUCACGGCUUCUUCACCACCACCAUGCUCCAUCAGUAUCAAUUACUUUUCUUCAAACAUUAACACCAUGUUCUGUUAGUCUCCCUUAUUUUUCUUUUGACUACGUCCCUCCUCUUUUCUCUUCUGCAUCUUCUUUUACUUCUCAAAUCUCAGUUUUUAUUUCAAUUUUCAUUUUCUUCUUGAUGUUUUGUUGGUUGAUGAAUGAUGUAGAUCUGAGGUGAGGCUACUGUUUUUUCAAAUUUCUAUUAUGAAUCUUCUCAACCCGCGUGAACCCACCCGUAAACCCGCAACCCGAAAGACCCGAACCCGUGCAAACCGAAGAAGAAAAGCUAGCUUAAAUGGGUCUGUACACACAAACCGCGGGUUGAGCUGGGUCGAGCUUUCAGACCCGAACCCGCCCGUUGUCCACCCCUAGACUAGGUGGUACCCCAACCAUUAAACAAUUCAAAAAUGAUGAGUAACCCAGUAAUAGCGACUCAAAAGUUUAUUUGAGAUAAUCUGAUCGAAAAAGCACAAAACUCAGGAGCUGUGUGCUGCUUCGCCCUUGCAUUGCAUCAGAUACAAAUUGGAGUCACAGUGAACUCUCCUGGCCGGAAAACACACCAGAGUUGUCCGUGUAUCAGAAACUGUGAGGAAUUCCUUCUAAAUUUCCUUUUUUUUUUUAAUAAAUUAGAAUUUUCCUUCCCUUCUCCUGUAGCAUGCGAUUCCACCGCGAUGGUCACCCCUCAAAAGGCAACGCACUAAUGAUUGAAUUGCGUCGCAGAAAGAAAGAGAGGGGAGGGGCUUACGAUUGAAAAAGGUGCCUGGGAGAAUCUGAUUCCUAUUCAAAUCAUUGUUGUUUAAUGAAUAGUUGAAUACGUUUGCUCAAUUUCUGAUACUACCCUUAUUCACACACUUAUUGUUUCUUCAACUUUUCUUAUGAAACCAAUGUACUGGGUUACUCAUCAUUUUUGAAUUGUUUAAUGGUUGGGGUACCACAUACAAUAGAAAAGAUGACCUGUAUGUUCUGCAGUAAGGAGAGUAUAUGAGAUGGAGGAUAUUUAGAUCACUAGAGACAAAGACCUAGAAAAACUAUAUAAUAUGGUUUAUGAUAGAACAUUAUGGCAUGAUUUGAUCCAUGUAGCCGUCCCCACUUAGUGGGAUAAAGCUUGGUUGUUGUUGUUAUUUUCUUAUUUAUUUUUUGAAUGGUGUUCUUGUUGUUAUUGAUUGCUGUUGUCGCACCAUAUGAAAAAAUAAAAAAAGUUAUAGUCCAUUCGAGUUUUAAUUAGAAAAAACUCAAAAUUAAACCCAUAGUAAAUAAGUAAGGUGCUGAAGCUUGCAAUAAUUGCAUCUAUAGUUCAAUAUUUAUCUGUUUUUCUAAUUUUGUAACUGGCUGUUGGAGUUAUCAGCUUUUAGGCUUUACGAGCACUUCCCAUGGCUAAUGUUGGGCUGGUUGAGUAGUGCGGCCUUGCCCAAUAUAGACUCUGCCAUUUGGGACUUUAUUGUCAUUGUUACUUUACCAUUCAAACCAUUGAAAUGACAUUCUUGUCUACAUGAGAAAGUGUGAAUGAUAAGUUAAAUUCACCAUGGUGUUUUCGUUCGUAGGGACAGCCGAAAGAGAAUCCAUUUAUAAUGAGGGAGCAAUCUGAGAACAAGAGCAAGAGUGCCAAGCCUAAAACAGGCACAAAGGAGAAGAAGAAAAGUGAGUUUGAGUUCUGCAAGGUUUGCAAAAUAAAUCAUGACCAAGGUCUUCGCCACAAGUAUUUCCCUAAGCACAAACAAUCCCUUUCCACCUUCCUCUCUCGCUUCAAAAACAAACUCUCCGAUGUUCGCUUCUUCCUCAAAACACCUUCUCCUCUUACUCCUCAACUUGCUUCCGGCAAUCGCUUCUGGUGUGUUUUCUGUGACCAAGAUAUCGAUGAGCACUCCAGUUCUUUUGCCUGGUAUCAAUUUUUUGUUUUCAAUUUAUGAACUAUUGUCCAGGUUUUCUUUAGCUAAAUUGUAAUGAACGUUCUCUUGUUCUCGAGGCAGUGAAAAUGCGAUUCGUCACCUAGCAAGUGUAGAACAUGUGAAUAAUUUGAAGCACUUCUUUUGGAAAUAUGGUGGCACAGUGGAUCAGCUGGAUGUGUUUACAGUUUCUCAUAAUGACGUUGCAAAGGUGCCAUAUAAAAUCUUAUGUCUGUUUUUUAGGGGAUUUUUUUUUUUUUUUUUAUAUAUAAAAUAACUCAUUAUAUAGAAUGCAUUUGCUCAUUAAGUUACAAAAAAGCAUUUGCUCAUCAUUUGUCAUUUCUUUGCUAGUGCAGUGGGACAAGAGGUGCGCAAACCUUAAAAAAGAAGCUUCAUUGCAAAGUGAGGAAAGUCCUGGAGCAGUUUUUGGACCUUCAAGUGAUAUCCAUAAUCAAUCGAACAAUGAAAAUAUUGAUAGUUUUAAAAAUAAUAUUUAUUCCAAUUCUGUGAACUCGAAUGUUGUUUUGCCUUUACACUGCUACACAAAUGAGUAUCAGGUAUCCUCUUCAGGUCACUCUGGAGUUGGAAAUACCGGCCUUUUAGAUAUUGGUAAAUCUUCUUUACCUUCGGAAGCAUGCUCCAGUGCGAAUACCCUUGCUUUGCAGGAUUUUGCAGGUAUGCUUACCCUGUCUAUUGGAAAUGUCAUUCCUUAUUCUUUACAAUUAUCGGUCACUUGCGGGAUUUGUUAAAAAGUUGAGACUUAUCUUCCGUGUGCUUAUGCUUUGUGUCUCAGCUGAACGGAGAAGUCACAAACUCCCUUAUAAUAGUGGACAAUGGUCAAGUGAUGGAUACUCAUGUAAUAAAGCGGUAAGUCUAUGUGUUGGGGGGAAGAGGGGAGGGUUUCUUAGGCUUUGACUCUUCUGCUUGAGAAUCUAACUAUUGAGUUUCAGACUUUCAGCAAUUGUUGGUUGAUGAUUUCAUUGGUUUGUAAGAUCAAUGUAUCUAAAGUUUUUCCUAAAGUUAUCUAAAAUUUUCUUGUCUUCAUGAUCAAGGAUUAUAGUUUGCUUCUCGCAAUGCAUGCUUGUAUAUUUUAUAAUCUCUAAUUUCUAUUUUCACAUUAUUCUGAUUGUUGCUCCCCUCUUGCUCUGUAGCUUUCUAAUGUCUAAUUUAAACACUGAUAAAGGCAUUGCAUUUCUUAUGAAUAUAGCAGGUUCUUGAUAAUGGUAAAGUGGUCAGCGGAGAGAGUGGUCCGCAAGGUGUUCAUCUAUCUAUAACUAUAUAUUUUUCUUAAGUUCUUAUAAUUCUAUAAAGUUGGGGAGCAUGUGCCAAUUGAAUAUGUAAUUUUUCAUAGCACUAUUGCAUUUGCACCUAUGUGCAAAAUAUUUGAAGACUUGAAUGCAGAAAAAAAAGUUCUCUGUGGCAUUAUGACUUGCUCUUAGAUAGAUAACAUUGAGGAGGCUGUGAAUGUGAUGGUAAACUAGUGUGCAUGAUGCAUUGUCUACUAAUGACUCUGCAUUUUCAGGUAUACAAAUGCUCACUCGGAUUUCUUUUGUGCCUGCUGAAAAUGGUGGUGGAAAUGUUCAUUCUGGAGCAC